AAUUCGCGGAUUCUGGUUUCUGAAGGCUACGCCGGAAUUCCUUCCCCGGGACUUGGGAACCACUUCUGCCUCCCUCCCUGGGGCGUGGAGGCUGAGGAAAAGGAGUUAAUGUGUUAAGAGCCAUUGACAUUUGAAGAUCAUCAGAAGUGAAGAUAAAACAUCUCAAAAAUUAUAAUUGCCUCCACUUCUCAUUCAGAGAAUUCAGUGCAUACAAAAUCAGCUUCUGUUGUAUCAUCAGAUUCCAUUUCAACUUCUGCCGACAACUUUUCUCCUGAUUUGAGGAGGGAGUCUCGCUCUAUCCCCUAGGCUGGAGUGCAUUGGCGCCAUCUCGGCUCAUUUGCAACCUCUGUCUCCCGGGUUCAAGCGAUUCUCCUGCCUCAGCUUCCCGAGGAGCUGGGAUUACAGUUCUUAGUUAUUGGCCGCAGGUGAGCCAGAUUGCGGAAGAUGGAGGAAUUAAUGGGAUUGGAGACAGAAAUUUACUGUUUGAUGGUCCUGAGGGAGUCUAACAAGUUAGCAGAAAUGGAAGAACCACCCUUGCUU
rnacentral:lncRNA from 10 species